UACGAAGGGGGCUAGCGUUGCUCGGAAUUACUGGCGUAAAGCGCACGUAGGCGGCUUCUUAAGUCGGUGGUGAAAUCCUGGAGCUCAACUCCAGAACUGCCUUCGAUACUGGCGAUCUUGAGUCCGGAAGAGGUGAGUGGAAUUCCUGGUGUAGCGGUGAAAUGCGCAGAUAUCAGGAGGAACACCAAUGGCGAAGGCAGCACUCUGGGACGUGACUGACGCUGAGACGCGAAAAGCCGUGGGGGAGGCAAACAAGGA
rnacentral:rRNA from 1 species